rnacentral:rRNA from 1 species
UAAAGUGGCGUACGGGUGAGUAACACGUGGAUUAUCUGCCCUGGAGUGGGGAAUAACGCUGGGAAACCGGCGCUAAUACCGCAUAUUCCCGAGAGGGGAAAGCAGCAAUGCGCUCGAGGAGGAGUCCGCGGCCGAUUAGCUAGUUGGCAGGGUAAAAGCCUACCAAGGCUAUGAUCGGUAGCCGGCCUGAGAGGGCACACGGCCACACUGGCACUGAAACACGGGCCAG